ensembl:lncRNA
GGGCAGCCGGGGGUCGGGCGGCGGCCGGCGUGGGGCGUCGGACAGCGGCGAUGCGGGGCGGGGCGGAGGCUCGUGCGGGCCUGGAGGGGACGCGUCAGGCCGCCGUGGGGCGUCGGACGGCGGCGACGCGGGGCGGGUGGCGGCCGUGGGCUGGCCCCACUGCGCCGCGCUGACCAAGGCGGCUCUGCCCGCAGGCCGCAUUUUCACCGCCGUGUCCAGUCAGCGAUAACUCGUUUUUGCGAAAAAUCUCCUCGUCCGGUCCACCGUGCACGACCUGCCGGUGAGCCAGCCCCAUGCUGGUCACGAGGCCGGGCGGCGCCGCCGCUGCGGACAGUGAAUGCGGGCCGUGCUUCCCUCAGCCGGUGACCGCCGCGGCCCUGGCCGCCGUCUGCGCGCCUCGACGCCGGCUGUCCGCUGUCAGGGUGUCGUUGGGGCGUCGUUCGGUGUCUGCCUCUCCUGCCCGGGCCCGGGGCGCGUCCCUGCGCUCUCAGCGGCACUCAUCCUCUCGCCUCACCCCGGUCCUUCCCUGCGCUGCCCUCUGGCCCGGGGGAGUCGCCAGUUGGAAGAUCUAGCCCUUCCCUCUGAUGCCCGCGUUCUCGUGGCGGGUCCUGGGCGACAUCCUGGGGCACAUCCCUGUGGAAGGCUCUCAGUUUGGGGAGCUUGAGAGAAGGAUCAGGGUCUGGUCUUAAAAUCCAGCCUCCCCCUUCUGUCUGAUCGCUAGCAAGUUUAAGGCCAACGGUGGUGGUCGGGCUCUUCCCGGAACAUCCCUUCAGAGCUGAGGCCGGCCAGAGGGAGCUCUGUCUCCUGCACUGGUCAGUCCCUGCCCACAGCUGGAGAAAGGACACGCGUGCUAGCGGCCGCCCAGCCACCCGGGUUAGCACUGCUCCUGUGGGUCCCCUGGAGACGUGGAGGCUCAGACCAGCUUAAGGAGGGGCGUCGUUCACAGCCUGCCUUGGAAUCCGAGUGUUUAACUCUUUCCAACAGCAACAUGUGUCGUGAGGCCCUCUGUCUGCCCCUCAUUCAGAGGUGAAGGGAGCCCAGCCCUCUGUCCACAGGCCUCACAGUCCAGGAGGAGAAGCAGAAACUUCAACAGAAAUGCAGGCUUGGGCGGAAGAUCAAGAGUGCGUCUGACCUGAAGAGGCCAGGGAAGGCUUAAUGGUCAGAGCAUUUCUCAGCCUGGUCUUGAAGGAUGUAGAGCAGUCUCUCAGAAGGAGGAAGACGGGAUGAACUCUCCAGGCCGAAGGAACCGCAAGAAGUAAAAGGACAGGAUAUCUUGGAGUGGCUGGAGCCGUGGUGGGGAAGGAGGCCCUGGCCAUUGUCCAAAAUGUCCCCUGCUCUCUCAUAAGGCUGCCCCCUGGGCGCUUGCUGCCCAGUGGUGUAGAGCUGGUCCCACUGGCUUGCAAGAGCUGGUUGUUAAAUGUCCAGGGAUUUUAUGAGCCGGUUGUGAACACAUUAGUAGCUUGAAUUGGGAGUGCUUACGCAGUGGAAAUUGGCUUUUGUUAGUCUGUCUUCCAGGGAGCCGGGUCACCAGCACAGCCCUGACGGUGGGCACAGCUACAUCCCAGGAGAGUCUGGGGACAUGUCUCUUUGUACUUAGAGUCGAUUAUUCUCAUCUGCCAGGAAGACCUGGAGUGUGGUUCUUCUUCAACAUAUGCUCUUCAAAUGUGGGGUCAAAAGAGAAGUAGAAAAAAAUCCAGUUCUUUCUGUUUUGAAGAUGGCUUGGUUUGUGCAGGCCUUGUCCCUGCUCAGGCCAUAUUCGUAUAAUUCCUCCCACGUGUCCAUUCUAAAGCCUCCUCGCGCCAGACUACAGGCCAGUCCCCACUGCGGUCAGUUCCCUGCCCUGGAUGCCUCUCAUGGGCGGACUUGUCCAGAGGAGCUCCUUCAGGACAGGGCUGGGCCUCAGACCCCAAGACCUCAGCUCAGACAGUGUCAAGAGAAGACUGACUUUCUAAAGAAAUACUUUUUCUUCCUUCCCACUGAAUUGACCUGUUAUUUCAUUGUCAGUCGACACAGCCCUGGCCUUGAUAAAUAUGUGUCUGGAUGUUCAGAAACAAUUGUCCGAGUGCAGUGUGAUAGGAGGAGGCAAACAAGACGUGUUCCGAUCGCGGCUUUGUUGCUGGCCAGCGCUGAUAAGUGUGGACAGGUGAUUUGAUCUCUCUGAAUCUGAACCUCUUCUUCAUCUGUACAAUGGGAACAACAAGCUCCCCUCACAGGGUUGCCGUGAGGCUCACACAAGACUGUGUGCCGUGCUGGCUUUGCUACUUGCUGCCUUCUCCCCUCCCCGUGGGCUCUCACCACCCCCUGCCUUCUCCUCCAUCAGUCAGUGGAGGGAGGCUGACCCUGACUGUUUGGAAAAAAUCAGUGAUGGAUCCGUCUCCGUUUCUUCUGCUGGACCCCACCUGGUGCAUCUUCGUCAGGUUGGGGGAAGAGUCGGAGCGGGGAGAGGACUCGCGGCUGUGGACCACCAUGCUCUGAUCUCUCGGAAGUUGGAUGAUGUGGGCAACAACAGUGCUCACCUCCUAGGUGUCGUGAGAAUCCAGAGAGAGAAUGCAUUUGGGGUCUUGAGUUUGCCUGGCUCACUGAGUGCUUGGGAGAGGAGAUGCCAUGAUGUAACCUGUUGUGACUAAACAGACGGAAAGGAUUCUGAGAGUCAACAGACUAUAGAACUAGAGGGAGACUGGAAUCCAGUCCUCUUGUUUGCAGAGACAAGGGCCACACAAAGCAGUGUGAGGCCAGGGCUCAACUCCAGGUGUCCUGACUCCCGUCCAGAGGCCACCACAUCGAGUCAGCAGGAAAUAGCUCAUCCUGGCACUUGGACUUCUUUUUCCUACCGAAUCUGGAAUGCCAGAACAGCCCUCAAGGAAGAUCGUUAAUAUUGGGGUUUGUUAUUUGGGGCUAAUUAGGACUCUCAUUGCCAUGUUCCCCGAGGGAUAAACUGAGAGGGCCCGGGGCCUUGUUUCCAGGAAUAUGGAAGCUGUUACGUGUGGCCUCUGAGCACAGCCCCAGUGGGGACCGGAGUCCCUGAGAGCUGAUGGACAUACAUCAUCCAGAGAUCCGGCUGCUUUGAGCCAAAUACAAAUACAGGCGAGACCCCAAACUGGGAUUUCAGCUCUUUGUUUAGCAGAAUGAGGCGUUUUAGCAGAUAAGACAAAGCUUAGGAAAUUGGCAAAAAUCAAAUAGCCUCAAAAAUAAAUGUAUUUGGAGCAGAGUAUCGACCAUAUGUGAAGCAUGUAAAUGAUUUUUAAGUAGAUUUUUUUCCUUUUUCUUUUUCUGCGUGUUUAUUUUGGCAAUUAGCUUGAGAUGACUAUUGACAUUCUUGACUGUUGAAAAUCUCCCUCUAGGAACUGGCCUCGUUUCUGCAUUUUUGGCCCUUGUUUUAAUCUGAAACACCCAGGACACAUACACAUGAGGAGGAGGAGGCGAGCCUAUCACUCUCGUAUUUGGCCUCUUCCCUUGUCUUUCCUCUGACUCCUGGUUGGCGCGGCAGAGUGGUGAAACCAGCUUUAGAGCUGAUGGUCUGGCUUUGUGUCCAGCUCUACCACACUCCCCAUGUAAUCCUGAUAAACCAUUCAGCCUCUCUAAGUCUCAUUCCCUCAUCUCCAGAAAAGAAAUACUAAUGGUGCUUGCUGGGACCAGUCUGGGCGAGUCAGGAGACAGAAACCACGCCACGGUUUGAACAGGGUGAUUUAAUCUAAAGAAAUAUUAAACCGUGGUAGGUCAGCUAUUCACUACAAAGACGUGAGGAGAGCCCUGCAGGGUACCCCAGGCCGAAGGAAAGUGCCCAGGGGAGACAGCUGGGGUGGGGCCUCCCCAAGCUGGAGAAGGCGUGGCUGUACCGCUGGGAGGGUCCUUUGACCCCAGCUGGUGAGCAACCCUGAGCAGGUGAGCCGGGUGGCUGGGCCAAGGGGCUGGGUGCUGGGAGUGUGCUUUCUGACUGGGUGGCACGUGGCCUGGGGCUGUGGUGUUGACUUUGGGAGGGCCCCGGAAACCGUCGUCCAGGGUGCAGAUAAGCCUUGGUGCGCAGGCGGUGUGCAGGGCACUUAGGGAGCCUGAAGGGGAGGCCGCAGUGAGGUGGUCACUGGGCCCUGGGUGGGGCGGAACCCUACUGGAAUGCCUCCACUGGCUGGCAGAUGCCUGGAGAAGCAGGAGCAGCAGAGUGGACCCGCAGAGCCCAGAGGAGGAGUGUCUCCCCCUGUGGUGCGUCUCCAUCACCCUCUGGUGACAAAGCCUGACACGGUGCUCACAGUGCCAAGGAGAGAUGUGGAGCCCAGGCUGUCACCAUGGAGCAGAAUGACUGGUGUCCUUACAAGAAGAAGAGAAGAGGCCUAGGAGAGAAGGCCCUGUGGAGACGGAGGCAGAGGCUGGAGUGAUCAUAAGCCAAGGCAUGGCAAGGACUGCUGGAGCUGCCAGAAGCUAGGAGAGAUCUGGAUGGGCAGACUCUCCCUCUGAGCCCCCAAGAAGGACCCAGUCCUAUCCACCCCUUUACUUCAGAUUUCUGGCCUCCAGAACUGUAAGAGAGUAAAUCUGUUGUUUUAAGACACCUAAUUGCGGGAGCAUUAAUACCAUGUGCAAAGAUGAAUGUCUAAAGAUUCGAUGUGCUAGGAGACAUUGUGCUUAAUGGAUACCCAUGGUUGCUUGUCAUGUUUCAAGGAAAAUUUUAUCUCAAAUCACCAAGUCUUGCUGUUGGGAUUCACUAGGCCAGGCCUCCAUCAUCUGUCUGUCCAUUUACUCUGUGCUGUGGGAGCUGCUGGAGCUCAGACAGAUGGAGUAACCCACCAGGUCCUAGGGCUGGUGAGUGCUGCCUGAUAUUUGGAGCAGUUCUAUUUUUCUCCCAACUCAGUAAAUGCUCUCUCCACUGCACUGAAAAGAAUCCUUUAUUAUAAAAAUUCUUCCAAAAUAUCGGGGUGGGGGAAUGAUCUGUUAACUGAGGUUAUUAUAUGAAUUGAAUUUGGUUGUUUUUUGCAGGGAAAGAUUUGCCCUGAGCUAACAUCUGAUGCCAAUCUUCCCCGCCCUUUUUCUUUUUCCUGCUCAAAGCCCCAGUGCGUGGCUGCAUAUCCUAGUUGUAAGUUGUUCUAGUCCUUCUGUGUGAGCUGCUGCCACAGCAUGGCUACUGACAGGCAGGUGGUGUGGUUCCACGAUAGGGAAGCAAACCCAGGCCACUGAAGCAGAACACACUGAACUUUAACCACUAGGCCAUCAGGGCUGGUUCAAAUUGAAUUUGUUUUUUUUUUUUUUUUUGAGGAAGGUUAGCCCUGAGCUAACAUCCAUGCCCACCUUCCUCCACUUUAUAUGUGGGAUGCCUACCACAGCAUGGCUUUCCAAGUGGUGCCGUGUCCGCACCUGGGAUCCGAACCGGCGAACCCCAGGCCGCCAAAGUGGAACAUGCACACUUAACCGCUGCACCACCAGGCCAGCCCCUUGAAUUUGUUUUUGAUCCUAAACCUGACAAGGACAUAGCACCACCUUUACCCUGUUCCCCUCACCACCAAAUGAUUCACGCUAAUUUUAUGUGGGAAAAGAUGCAAACACUGUAUGUCAAAUUGUAUCCGUUAGAAUAAAAUAACACAUAUUAAAAGAAUUGUCCACUGUGGUAACAUAAGCUUUAUUCUGGGAAUGAAAGAUAUAAUUUGUAGAAACUAUUAAUGGUUUCCUUCUUGACAGGAAAAAAUUAUCUUAAUAAAUAUAAGCUCCUUAACCAAAAAUAUGUCAUUUUCCUUGAUCAAACCCUUACAAUUUUUAUAGGAAGAAUUUCUUCACACACACACACACUUACACUUGCAAAUUAAAACAACA